GGGCGCUGGAGAAUUGAGGGGGGCUGCUCCUAGUACGAGAGGACCGGAGUGGACGCAUCACUGGUGUUCGGGUUGUCAUGCCAAUGGCACUGCCCGGUAGCUAAAUGCGGAAGAGAUAAGUGCUGAAAGCAUCUAAGCACGAAACUUGCCCCGAGAUGAGUUCUCCCUGAGCCUUUAAGGCUCCUGAAGGAACGUUGAAGACGACGACGUUGAUAGGUCGGGUGUGUAAGCGCAGCGAUGCGUUGAGCUAACCGAUACUAAUGAACCGUGAGGCUUAACCUU
rnacentral:rRNA from 1 species